rnacentral:tRNA from 1 species
UGGGGUGUCGCCAAGUUGGUAAGGCACGGGGUUUUGAUCCCCGCAUGCGUAGGUUCGAGUCCUGCCACCCCAGCCA